rnacentral:misc_RNA from 1 species
GUAAAGUCUGGAUGUCUAGUCAGGUUCAUCCUCUGCUUGCUGAGAGGACUAUUGAUGAAGAACAAGAACAGAACAAAAGCAUCUCAGCCCUGAUUAAGAUUGAGGUGAAGUCUGAGAGACCACGUGAAAGGACUCCGACUAGUAAAACUGUCGCUACAACUUGCAAGACUGGAAAAAAGAGGAGUAGUACAGCAGCAAGUAGGAAUGCUUCGAAUGCUCAAUUAAUAAUAGCAGAUGACCAUGAUGAUUCUUUACUUAGUAGUAUUCUUCAGCAGCACCGGA